AGCACGUAUCGAUCGACAGUCGGGCCUCAUCCAUCCAUUUUCAACUUUGCUUUUUCUGAAAAGGGUCGCGAGGGAUGCUGGAGCCUAACCCAGCUAACUUUGGGCAGAAGGCAGACUACACUAUGAACUGGUCGCCAUUCGUAACACAUAGGGCACAUAUAGAGACAAACACCAGAUUUUUGCAAAAAAAGACAGCAACUGGUUAGCACGUGGGCCUCACAGUGCAGAGGUGCGGGGUUUGAUUCCGGGCCUCGGCCUUCCUGUGUGGAAUUUGCAUGUUCUCCGCGUGCCUGCGUAGGUUUUCUCCAGGAGCAACGUUGGGUCAAAUACAAUUUCUAUCCUCCCAGAUCUGGAUUUGAAAGAAGGAAGAGAGCUUUGCCUAAAAAAAAAAAUAUUUUUCUUACUAAAAGUACAGCUAAACACCCAGCUAGCAACUCACGAUUGGGUGC